rnacentral:lncRNA from 1 species
UUUUUUUUUUUUUUUUUUUUUUUUGGCAACACCCAUGGCAUGAGGAAGUUCCUGGGCCAGGGAUUGAACCCAUGGCACAGCAGCAACCCAAGCCACUGCCGUGACGACACCAGAUCCUUAACCUGCCAAACCACAAGGAAACCCCAAAGAUUUCCUCCUAAAGAGACUUACUGCAGUCUUAUAAAAUUAGCUCUUAGGGCCUGAGAGCAUUAAGAUGAGAUUUAUCUAAUUAGCCUCCCUCCCUGUCCAACUUCCUCUGAGGGCUGACAUAUUAGCACCUCCUGUUCUCGGAAGGGCCCUCCUCCUGGCACUUUGGCUUUGAGCAAAAGGAGAGGUUCCAGGUAUGACUUAAGGACAAGUGAACUUUGACAAAGCAGAUUUAUGGGAAAUUUCGAUAUUGCUGGUUUUUAACGGGAAAACAGCAUUCUCAAAAUUAUCAAGGCACAAAGCUUAUGAAAUCCAGUUUCAUUUAUCUUCCAAAAAUAUAAAUAAACAUAUCACCCAGUCCAAAGGGGCCUCACAUGGGCUCUUUCGAACGGCUGGAGAGCCAGAUUGAAGAACCUCCAAAGAAGAAAAUGUUUUUUUUAAAGUUCAGAUGCCUCCAUUCUCACUCUUCCUGGGGCAGAGGUGAUGGACAGAGGAAAAAAAGAAAAAAGCAACCAAGAGGAAGAAAAAAAAAAGGGAGUUUUCAGAUUUCAUUCUUUUCUUAAAUCCCGAUACGAUUGAUGCACGGAGCUGUAUUUUUAAAUGCCCUGCCUCAGAUUUCCAGAUGGUGCAAAGAAUCUCUCAGACAGCACCCAAUCCAGCUCCAUGGACAAAUGUGGGGACUGAAGAGAGAAAACACACAGCUACUCCCCUGACCCCACCCCCGGGGGGUAGUUCCGGCAAGGCGUUCAAUAGCAGACCCAGAAGGGAGGCAGCCUUGUGCCAAGGAACAGAUUUCCUCUGAAAACGGAGGAGAUGAAAGAAAGAGGAAAAGCUUCAAAAAUUAAGUGCAGGCACGGUGCUGACAAAGCAGUAAAUAAAUAAGGCAAUUGAUCCCUGCCCUCAGAGCUCUCACAGUCAACCUGUGAUUAAUUUAAAAAAUGAAGGUAUCAGUUGUAUGGCCAACAAGCACAUGAAAAAAUGCUCAACAUCACUAAUUAUCAGAGACAUGCAAAUCAAAACUACAAUAAGGUACCACCUCACACCUGUCGGAAUGGCCGUCAUGCGUUAAGUCUACAAACAACAAAUGCUGGGGAAGGUGUGGAGGAAAGGAAACCGUCCUGUGCUGUUGAUGGGAAUGUAAAUUGGAACAACCACUAGGGAGAACAGUAUGGAUGUUCCUCAGAAAACUAAAUAUAGAACUACCAUAUGAUCUAGCAAUCCCAUCCUGGGCAUUUAUCCAGGCAAAACUUUAAUUGAAAAAGAUACAUGCACCCAUAUGUUCACAGCAGCACUAGUCACAAUAGCCAAGACAUGGAAACAGCUUAAAUGUCCAUCGACAGAUGAAUGGAUUAAGAUGUGGUACAUAUACACCAUGGAAUACUACUCAGCCAUAAAAGAGAACAAAAUAAUGCCAUUUGUGGCAACAUGGAUGGAACUAGAGACUCUCAUACUGAGUGAAGUAAGUCAGAAAGAGAAAGACAAGUACCAUAUGAUAUCACUUACAUCUGGAAUCUAAUAUAUGGCACAAAUGAACCUUUCCACAGAAAAGAAACAAAAUCAUGGACAUGGAGAACAGACUUGUGGUUUCCAGGGGGGAGGGGGAGAGAGUGGGAUGGACUGGGAGUUUGGGGCGAGUAGAUGCAAACUAUUGCAUUUGGAGUGGAUAAGCAAUGAGAUCCUGCUGUAUCACACAGAGAACUAUAUCUACUCACGUGNAGAAAUAGGUAAAAAACAAAAUAGUAAGAUAUAAAAUAAAUGCAAAGUAAAAUUUACUCACUGUGAAAGUAAAUGUUUAUAAAUAAUAUUAAUAGAACAGUGAAAAUAUAUCCAUGUAUAUCUUAUAAAUUUAGAGAUAAUAUUAACUAUGUGAAGAAUGUCCCUUCAAAAGUGCAGGUUACUUCAGAAGCGUCUAAAGGAGACUGGGCUGCUUGGAGGGUGGAUGUGGGUGGACAGGUUCAUUUUCUUCAGGAAAACCAAGGGCCUGAGGUCCAGCACAAGUUAGCUAGGCUGAGAGGAGGCUGAAGCAUGGGGUCUGGGUGGAUGGGAGAGGGACGAGGGUCCAGGCAGAGAGCUUAAGACCAUAUUUAAGGUCCUGGGCCAGGAAUUUGACCAUGAACUCUAAUUCCACCUCCAACUGGAGAUGCAGUAGUAGAAAGUCUCUGGGUUCAAUAUUGUGCCCCCCAAAUUCAUGUCCAUCUAGAACCGCAGAGUGUGACCUUAUUUGGAAAUGGAUGUUUUUUGUUUUUUGUAGAUGGAAUUACUUAAGUUUUCAGAUGAGACCACACGGGACUAGGAUGAACUGGAAAUCCAGCAUCCUUAGAAGAGAUGGAAAGAACAUGGAGAGACCCAGAGAAGACAGCAAUGAGGAUGGAGGAGACACGGAGUGAGGCACCUACAAGCCAGAGAUGUUGGGGGUUACCUACAACUGGCAGCCGGAGAAGGGCUGCAGCGUGCCUUCUCCCUCAGAGGCCCCAGAAAGAACCAACCGUGCUGACAGCUUGAUUCCAAACUGCUAGCCUCCGCAAGUGUGUGAAAAUAAGUUCCUGCUGCUUUAAGCCUUUGAGUUGGUGGUGCUUUGUUACUGUGGUCCUAGGAAACCAACACAGCCUCCUCCCCUCUUUUGAGCUUUGCCAGGAAGGACACUUUGACCCUUGGACUUGUUUCCUCAGAAGAUGCAAUCUUGUAAAACCUUUACGAUCUGCUUAAAAUAAUUUCUAUCAUGGUUGGCACGGUCACGAUAAAAGAAAUUUUCACGCAUUGAGGUAUGGGGAAGUCGUUCUGGCUCACACGAGUGGACUUGAAUCUUAUGCUAACAGCCUGUUUGUGGCCUCUUAAACAUACAUGGUACAUCUGCCUUAAUUAUUAAAGAAAAGGGUGCAUUGACCAGAUGUAAAGAAUGUCCAUGUUAAAAAUAAAGAUUAGGUACCUCCCUCCUGAGACACCAAAGCUGGACUUCCUUCAAUGAUAAGACUCCCAUCCUGGGUGCUAAGGCCGUACUGACUCCCUGUGUAUGUGCUGAUCUGUUUGUUUUUUUGUUUUGUUUUGUUUUUUUAAACCUUGAAGGAAUGUAUCCCUGACUCGUUGCAUGUUCUUUGUUCUGACAAGAUAUAAAACUGUGCCAAAACCCACACUGCUCUGGAGCAUUUCCUCAGAGUUGUUGGAGAGGCUGUCUUCCAGGUUAGAGUCCUCAGUUUGACGUCAGUAAAACUCAUUUCUAUUCCCAUUAUAGUUUGGUUGUGGAUUAUUUGCAUCAACAGUUAUAUAGCAAAGUGAUUUUAAAUAAAUAUAUUAGAUAUGCUAUUAAAGUACUUAGAAACAAUCUUCAAAAAUAUCAAGAUGGGAAUUUCCUCGUGGUCUAGGCAUUAAGGAUUGGACAUUGUUGUGACUCAGGUCCAACCCCUGGCCCAGGAACAUUGCAUGCCCCAGGUGCAGCCCCCCCAAAAAAAAUCAAGAUAAAUUUCCCUAUUUCACAAGUGAUGCAUGUCACUUCAUUUGCUUCAGAUUAAUCCAUAAGAACACAAAUGAUUUACUGACUCAAACUGAAAUAAUAUACAUCAUUUUAAAGUAUUUAAAAUAUAUAUUUUAAAGUACAGAGAAAAAUUACCUAGUGAUAUCUAUGGCAUCAAGAAUAGAAAAAAAAAAAAACUUGCCAUUUUCAUUCUUGGAUGUUUAGAAUUUCUGCAGUUGAAUUGUGUGAAAUGUCCUGGUUUGGAUUUUCAAAUCAUGAUGUUUGAUAUCUAGAUGGCAACAUGAGAGAUUUCCAGCUGCAAUUUGCCAUCACUUCUCAAACAAUACACUGUAGGGGGGCGGGGGACAGUCUUUAUCCCAAUAAACAGCAGCUACACUGGACAGAACAAGUGGCAGCUCUUCCGGAUGAGUUUGGAUCAGAUGAAUGUAACUUCGAGAUCCAAUGGCGAUCAUCUUGAGGAGAAUCAUCACCAUGAGGUCCUUGUUAAUUUGAAUCACCAGUGUCACCUAUCCUUCCUGUCAUUCAUGACUCAUUAACGGCACAGCAAGCAGAGAUAGUACCAAGCAGGGAAAAUGAUUUAGGACUAUUCAAUGGGCAGUACCACUCUGAUGACCAGAGUGGGUCAUCUGUGAGAUGAACUGGGUAUCUGAGUGGUAAGAACACCAACUAUUUUCCUGUUCAGUACCCAUCUUGAGAUCUUUGAAACCAUUUUAUCUAUCUAUCCAUCCAUCCAUCCAUCCAUCCAUCCAACGAUCCAUCUAUCUAUGCCGUGCCCAUGGCAUGUGGAAAUUCCCGGGCUAGGGACUGAACACAGCAAUGGCCAUGCCAAAUCCUUAACUGCUUGGCCACCACAGAACUCCUCAAAACCAUUUCAGAGGGAGAAAUGUUUAAACAAUUAUUUUGUUUUCUGAUUCUCAGCAAUGCAUUUCACCACCUUGAAGAAAAUGCACUUGAGGACCACCUCUGCCAACGGGCAGUAACUUCCCUGUUACAGUGUUGUGGUGUCUGGCCUCGUGUCUGAGAGGGGGAGCUUGGGGCACAGUGAGCUUCAGAGAGCUUGAACCACGGGUUGGGGAUGUGCCCCUGGGCCAGAGCCGUGAGGUCUUCACUUUGUUAUCAUUUCAGCCUCUCACCUCACUGGACACCAUUCAGAGGGUGUUUGGGAUAAAGAUGCCAAUGUGUCUUGUCGGUAUCCCACACAGGUUUCUAAAGGAACCUCAACUUUAGAACCGACUCCGUUUCCUCUCUGUCCUUCCCCCUUCAGCAUCUGGCCGGUUAUGGAGCACACGUUUGAACUUGCCAGCAGCUCGUCUAUGUUUCUGCAGCGCAGGAGGGGCCGCCAUCUUGUCAGCCAAGCGUGGGCAGACACGUGACAGAACGGAAUUAUGAAGACUUCAGUCAUUUGCAUUGCUCAGACCUCACCCAAAAGUUCUUGUGAAGGGAGGAGUCCUUGUUUCUUUUUUUUCUUUGUUUUUUUUGCUAUUUCUUGGGCCACUCCUGCGGCAUAUGGAGCAGCCCUAGAAAAGGCAAAAAGACCGAAAAAAAAAAAAAAAAGCUUUAUAUUUUAGGGGAGAGUGGAGAGGAGGGUCAAGAGAAUAGUGUUGGGCAAAGCGCAGCAGUGGAAAGACAAAAGACCACUCAGAACUUGGGGUGCACAUUAGGCAGGAACAUUUAGGGUCUUCACCUUGCUUUGGUAUGAGUCUUUACAUCCUAGGAGAGUCAUGAUUAGUACUAGUGUUGUCAUCACUAUGGACCAUCCCACGUCUGGGAGAUGGGUAAGGAAGAUGAGGUUGUCACUAGUUGACACUACUUAGGGAUAGAGAUGAUGGAACUUCAUAGAGCCCUUCUGGACUCCUGGUCCAGAGCCCCUUCCUCCCCUCUGUGCAGGGAGACGAGAGGUGGUGACACUGCUGUUUUAGGAGUAGCUGGACUCUGGCCAGAAGAUCUUCCAGAAUUCUCCCUGAGCCACAGAAAGGGUGUGAAGUUCACAGGACAGUGGGCUGGGUGAGGCCCAGCAGCCUAUUGGGCAGAAUGGGGGUUGCAGAGCCUGGCAGACCUAGGUUCUGUCACUUACCAAUUGCGUGACCUUAAAGCAAAUUAUGUUUUUGUUUUUGCCUCAGCUUCCUCACCUGAAAUGGGCUGCUAUGAAAAUUAAAUGAUAUAUGAAUGUAAAGCUUGAGGCAUACAGGGAGUUCCCAUUGUGGUGCAGUGGAAACGAAUCUGACUAGUAUGCGUGAGGAUGUGGGUUUGAUCUCUGGCCUUGCUCAGUGGGUCAGGGACCCAGCAUUGCCAUGAGCUUGGUAUAGGUCACAGACUCGGCUUGGAUCCCACGUUGCUGUGGCUGUGGUGUGGGCUGGUACCAAUAGCUCCGAUUCGACCCCUAGCCUGGGAACUUCCAUAUGCCAUAGGUGCGGCCCUAAAAAGAAGAAAAGCUUGAGGUGUACAUUCAUGAUACUUGGAAAAUGUUCAAAAUGACCACAUCCAGCCUACUGGGCUACCUAUAGAGAGAAGUCAACCAACUACACAUAAAAAUCCCCACUGGUAUACACACACCCCUAUGUUCACAGCAACACUAUUCACAAUGCCCAAGACAUGGAAACAAUCUAAAUGUCCAUUGACAGAGGAAAGGAUUAAGAUGUGGCACAUAUAUACAAUGGAAUACUACUCAGCCAUUUGUAGCAACAUGGAUAGACUUAGAGAUUAUAAUAUUAAGUCAGAAAGAGAAAGACAAGUAUCAUACUAUAUCACUUACAUGUGGAAUCCCAAAUAUGAUACAAAUGAACCUACUGACAAAAGAGAAACAGAUUCACAGACAUAAGAGAACAGACUUGUGGUUGCCAGGGAGAAAAGGCAGUUGGGGGAGGGGUAGAUUGGGAAAUUGGGGUUAGCGGAUGCAAACUGUUAUAUAUAGGAUGGAUAAACAAUAAGGUCUUACUGUAUAGCACAGGGAACCAUAUUCAAUAGCCUAUGAUAAAUCAUAAUAGAAAAGAAUAUGAAAAAGAAUAUAUAUAUAUGUGUGUAACUGAGUUGCUUUGCUGUACAGCAGAAAUUAACACAAUGUUGAAAAUCACCUAUACUUCAAUUUCAAAGAAAAAGACGUUGGAACUAAAAAAAAUAAAAAAAUCCCCAUUGGCAACAGGCAUGAAAACCCCCAUGGUGAAGAUGAAAGUGCCGGGCAGCUGGCUACCAGCCCCAGGGCCCUGGCCCGUGUGCUCAGGGAAAGUCAAGUUCAUGGCAGCCCCAGGAGAGGCCAUCUACCUCCCAAGUAAGGCAACUUCCUAACCUGGCAUUCUAGAGCAUUUCACGUGAAUCACCAUCAUCUCUGAGCCCAGACCCAGCAAGAAAGCGGCCUGCUUCAAAGGAGUAAGAGGACAGAAAAGUUUCCAGAAACCUCUGUCUACCACUGCUGGGCUCCUUCCUGUACCUCCUCCUGGCCCCUGGAGAGGCAGGUCCUCUCCGGAAGUUCCACAGGACACAGAUCCUGGCCAUCCUCCAGUGUCUGGCCCUGGGCUGAUCCCACUCAACUUGGCACUUGAAGAGAAAAACUUUUCCAAACACUCUCUAGUGGUUUUUACUUGUAUGUCUUGUCAAUCGCAAGUGGGCCCAUGGCUGUUUUUACAGCCUCUUGUCCCUGCUUCCCCCACAUCUUCCCCAGAGCAGCAUGUUCCUAGGCACCUUGUAAGCCAAACAUCACAGUGCAUUUUUUUUUUUUUUUUGUCUUUUUUGCCAUUUCUUGGGCUGCUCCCGUGGCAUAUGGAGCUUCCCAGGCUAGGGGUUGAAUUGGAGCUGUAGCUGCCGGCCUACACCACAGCUCACAGCAACGCCAGAUCCUUAACCCACUGAGCAAGGCCAGGGAUCAAACCCACAACCUCAUGGUUCCUAGUCGGAUUCGUUAGCAACUGCACCACGACGGGAACUCCUACAGUGCAUUUAAUAAGAGAACUGACUCCUUUAUCCUCGGCAUUGAGAAGUAAUGAAGAGUAAAAAUGUAUUCAGAGUGUCAACAACAGGCAAUAAUUUUCAAUACAUAAGAGAAUUUUUUUUUUUCUGCACCCACAGCAUGCAGAAGUUCCUGGGCCAGUGACUAAACCAACACUACAGCAGUAAACCAAGCCACAGCAGUGACAAUGCCAGAUCCUCAACCCACUGAGCCACUGGGGAACUCCAAAACAUAAGAGAAUUUUACAAAAAUAUAUACAGACAUGGAGCUACAUUUUAAAAUUAUGAAUCAUUGUGAGGAAAGGGGUUUAGAAAUAGUAAUAGCUGCUAUAAUUUAUAUACAUAUUUGCUGUGAUCCACACAUUGUAGUAAACACAUUGAGAAAAUUAUACA